rnacentral:rRNA from 1 species
AUUACCGCGGCUGCUGGCACGUAGUUAGCCGUGGCUUUCUGGUUAGGUACCGUCAAGGUACGAGCAGUUACUCUCGUACUUGUUCUUCCCUAACAACAGAGUUUUACGACCCGAAAGCCUUCAUCACUCACGCGGCGUUGCUCCGUCAGACUUUCGUCCAUUGCGGAAGAUUCCCUACUGCUGCCUCCCGUAGGAGUCUGGGCCGUGUCUCAGUCCCAGUGUGGCCGAUCACCCUCUCAGGUCGGCUAUGCAUCGUUGCCUUGGUGAGCCGUUACCUCACCAACUAGCUAAUGCACCGCGGGCCCAUCUGUAAGUGAUAGCCGAAACCAUCUUUCAAUCAUCUCCCAUGAAGGAGAAGAUCCUAUCCGGUAUUAGCUUCGGUUUCCCGAAGUUAUCCCAGUCUUACAGGCAGGUUGCCCACGUGUUACUCACCCGUCCGCCGCUAACGUCAUAGAAGCAAGCUUCUAAUCAGUUCGCUCGACUUGCAUGUAUUAGGCACGCCGCCAGCGUUCAUCCUGAGCCAGGAUCAAACUCU